rnacentral:rRNA from 1 species
GACGAACGCUGGCGGCGUGCUUAACACAUGCAAGUCGAACGGAAAGGCCCUGCGUUUGUGGGGUGCUCGAGUGGCGAACGGGUGAGUAACACGUGAGUAACCUGCCCUUGACUUUGGGAUAACUUCAGGAAACUGGGGCUAAUACCGGAUAGGAGCUCCUGCUGCAUGGUGGGGGUUGGAAAGUUUCGGCGGUUGGGGCUGGACUCGCGGCUUAUCAGCUUGUUGGUGGGGUAGUGGCUUACCAAGGCUUUGACGGGUAGCCGGCCUGAGAGGGUGACCGGCCACAUUGCGACUGAGAUACGGCCCAGACUCCUACCGGAGGCAGCAGUCGGGAAUAUUGCACAAUGGGCGGAAGCCUGAUGCAGCAACGCCGCGUGCGGGAUGACGGCCUUCUGGUUGUAAACCGCUUUCGCCUGUGACGAAGCGUGAGUGACGGUAAUGGGUAAAGAAGCACCGGCUAACUACGUG